rnacentral:lncRNA from 1 species
GGUAUCAUCAGAUACGUGUGAAAACUGAGGAUAUUCAGAAGACUGCUUUCAGAACAAGGUAUGGACAUUAUGAGUAUUCUGUAAUGCCUUUUGGUGUGACUAAUGCGCCUGGGGUAUUUAUGGAGUAUAUGAAUAGGAUUUUCCAUCCGUACCUAGACAAGUUUGUUGUGGUGUUUAUUGACGAUAUUUUGGUGUAUUCGAAAUCUGAAGAAGAGCAUGCUGAACAUUUGAGAGUGGUUUUAGGAGUUCUACGAGAAAAGAAGUUAUUUGCUAAACUGUCCAAGUGUGAAUUUUGGUUAGAAGAGGUUAGUUUUCUUGGUCAUGUGGUUUCAAGAGGUGGUGUUGCUGUUGAUCCUUCUAAGAUAGAAGCGGUAUCUAAGUGGGAAGCUCCGAAGUCAGUUUCUGAGAUAAGGAGUUUUCUUGGACUUGCAGGUUAUUAUAGGAAAUUCAUUGAGGGAUUUUCUAAGUUGGCGUUACCGUUGACGAUGUUGACUAGAAAGGGGCAAGCGUUUGUUUGGGACUCAAAAUGUGAAGAAGGUUUCCAAGAGUUAAAGAGAAGGUUAACUACUGCUCCUAUUCUGAUAUUACCAAGUCCGUCGGAACCAUUUGAGGUUUACUGUGAUGCUUCAUUGUUGGGUUUGGGUGGUGUUUUGAUGCAGAAUAAGCAGGUUGUAGCUUAUGCUUCGAGACAACUGAAGGUUCAUGAGAGGAACUAUCCGACACACGAUUUAGAGUUGGCAGCUGUGGUAUUUGUUCUGAAGUUAUGGAGGCAUUACUUGUACGGGUCAAGAUUUGAGGUUUUCAGUGACCAUAAAAGUUUAAAGUAUUUGUUUGAUCAGAAAGAGCUGAAUAUGAGACAGAGGAGAUGGUUAGAGUUUCUGAAGGAUUAUGACUUUGGUUUGAAUUACCAUCCGGGUAAAGCAAACGUAGUGGCUGAUGCAUUGAGUCGGAAAUCAUUGCAUAUGUCUAUGUUAAUGGUUAAGGAAUUGGAUUUAAUUGAGCAGUUUAGAGACUUGAGUUUGGUGUGUGAGAGUACUCACAAUAGUGUUAAAUUGGGAAUGUUGAAGUUAACGAGUGGUAUUCUGGAUGAGAUUAGAGAGGGUCAGAAAUCCGAUGUGCUUUUGGUUGAUAAGUUGACUCUAGUGAAUCAAGGUCAAGGUGGUGAAUUCAGAGUUGAUGAGAAUGGUGUUUUGAAAUUUGGUAAUCGGGUGUGUAUUCCGGAUGUUACCGAACUUAAGAAGAGUAUUCUUGAGGAAGGACAUCGUAGUGGCCUGAGUAUUCAUCCUGGGGCUACGAAGAUGUAUCAUGAUUUGAAAAAGUUAUUUUGGUGGCCGGGAAUGAAAAGAGAAAUUGCGAGUUUUGUUUAUUCUUGUUUGACUUGUCAGAAGUCAAAGAUUGAGCAUCAGAAGCCGUCUGGGCUAAUGCAACCGUUGGCUAUUCCAGAGUGGAAGUGGGAUAGUAUCAGUAUGGAUUUUGUUUCUGGUUUACCGAGGACAAUUAAGAAUUUUGAAGCUAUUUGGGUGAUUGUUGACAGAUUGACAAAAUCGGCUCAUUUCAUUCCGAUCAGAAUGGAUUAUCCGUUAGAGAGAUUAGCUGAGUUGUAUAUUGAGAAAAUUGUAAGUUUGCAUGGUAUUCCGUCGAGUAUUGUUUCGGACAGAGAUCCUAGAUUUACAUCGAAGUUCUGGGAAGGUUUGCAGAGGGCUUUGGGAACUAAGCUGAGAUUGAGUUCUGCAUAUCAUCCGCAGACUGAUGGUCAGACUGAGAGGACGAUUCAGUCACUGGAGGAUCUUUUGAGGGCUUGUGUUUUGGAAAAGGGAGGUGCUUGGGAUUGUUAUUUACCUUUGAUUGAGUUUACCUACAACAAUAGUUUUCAUUCGAGCAUUGGUAUGGCACCGUUUGAAGCUUUGUAUGGUAGGAGAUGUCGGACACCUUUAUGUUGGUAUGAGUCCGGUGAGAGUGCUGUGGUUGGACCGGAGAUUGUUCAACAAACUACGGAAAAGAUUAAGAUGAUUCAGGAGAAGAUGAGGAUUGCUCAGAGUCGUCAGAAGAGUUAUCACGACAAGAGGAGGAAGUCACUUGAGUUUCAAGAGGGAGAUCAUGUGUUUCUUCGUGUUACUCCGAUAACUGGGGUUGGUCGAGCUUUGAAGUCGAAGAAGUUGACACCUCGAUUUAUUGGUCCUUAUCAGAUUUUGGAGAGGAUAGGGGAGGUAGCCUAUCGUAUCGCUUUACCGCCGUCACUUGCGAAUUUGCAUGAGGUUUUUCAUGUGUCUCAGUUGAGGAGGUACAUUCCUGAUCCGUCGCAUGUGGUCCAAGUAGAUGAUGUACAGGUGAGAGAUAACCUGACUGUUGAAACAUCACCUAUGAGGAUCGAGGAUCGAGAGUUGAAGCAGUUGCGGGGUAAAGAGAUUGCUUUGGUAAAGGUAGCUUGGGGAGGACCAGCAGGUGGCAAUGUGACUUGGGAACUUGAGAGUCAGAUGAAGGAGUCUUAUCCAGAGUUAUUCGCUUGAGGUAUGUUUUCGAGGACGAAAACUCUUUUAGUGGGGGAGAGUUGUAACACCCCGAUAAAAUAUGAUAAUUAUUUAAUUUAAGUUAAUAGUAUAUUUAUUAAUUUAAUUAAAUAAUUGGAAUAUUAUUGGAUUAUUAUUAUUGGAAUAAUAAAGUUGGAAUAUAUAUAAAGAGUUCCAUUUGGUAAAAAGGGUUUUUCACGUGAAAACCAGAGAAGCGACAGAAAGUGAGAAAAGGGCAAAGAGGAAGAGCAAGAGAACAAGGGUUGAAGAAGGGAAAAGCUUGAAGCUAAAGGAUUUGCCGGAUUAACUCAGGUAAGGGGGGUUUAUCGUCGUUUAAUGGGUAUUAUGGGUUAACAUGUAAUGGGUAGUAAUAAGCCAUUGAAUUGACCCUAAUUGGGAUGAUGAAUGCUGUAAAUGGUGAUGAAUAAGUUAUGUUAAAACUGUAAUUGAAUCUAUAUGUGGGUGAAUCGUAAAUUUCUGGACGUGUAGCUUUUUACGGAAUUGAAAUCGGAGGUCCGGAAGUCCUCCGACGGCGAAAAAUGCGGGGGAUUCUGCAUUCUGUUCGUGUUAGCGCAGGAACAGCUUUCUGUCUUGCGUUAACCGGUUAACCCAGGGUGUUAACCGGUUAACACUGUUAUGAAUUGUGAAAAAUUGCUGUCUGUCUUGCGUUAACCGGUUAACCCAGGGCGUUAACCGGUUAACACUGUUGAAAAGUGGGAAAAUUGGUAUUUAAAUGUUGUGUACAUAUUUGAUGGUUGGCCUAUAUCGGUAUGUGAUAUAGUAGGGAUCAUUUCCCGUUGUUUUGAGCAGUAUAGGUAUUAGUAGAGUGUGCUAAUACUGUGAUUUAUUAUUUGGCAUGAUAUGAAUAUGAUUCUGUGAUAAAUAUGCUGAUGAUGUAUGAUGGUAUGCAUAAUGCUGUGAAUGUAUCUGUUAUGUAUGCAAUUGUGAAUGGACUGUUUAUGGCUUAGAGUGUGAGCAUAUGUCCAUUGUGGAUUGUUGUUGAUGUUUGCAUGCUAGGUGAUUUAGCGUGCAUAGCAUGGCCUUUAUGGUGGUAGCUAAUUCCCAUGGUGAGGAAUUAGUGAGUGAGUCACUAGGUCUCAAAUGAGUGGGACUAGUGAGCUUGGUAGCCGUAUCUGGAUUUGAUCGGUGAGGUUGAACUAUGUGUUCACGAAUAGUCGGUACCGCAUGCAUGGAGUCUCAUUGCAUAAUGUAUGUAUGGCGUAUAAUAUGAAUGGAUGUAUUCCAAUAUUAUACGUGUGUUUUGUGUUUGUGUUGAGUAUGAUUAUGAGUUGAUGUUGCCGUUGCUGAAUGUGUGAUAUGAUUAGGGUGAUGAAUGUGUUAAUUUACUUAGCAUUACAUGAUAUUUUAUAAUGCUUAUUAUAUCGAUUGAGGAACUCACCCUUACAACUAUGUUUCAGGUAACGAGCAGUGAUUGAGUAGAAGCUAGUGCUUGGAGUCUAGUGUAGUUCCUUAGUGGGUCAUGCUCUGGUAUAUGUAACAUCGGGACGGGAUGUUUUACUUUGUUUUCAUUUUUGGUUGUUGAACAAUUUUACAUGUAAUGUGUUACAUGGUUUGCAUGUUGUUAGAUUUCUAUCCGCUGCGAAUUGUGCAAUGUUUUAUUUUGAUUAAUAAAUGAGCAUGACAAGUUAUUUUGGUGAAUGGUGUGAAGUGUCAAGUGUGACACCCUGAAAUUGCAUAUCUACUCUGAUUCAUAUUUUGUUGUUUUAAUUAAUUAUUGGGGUAUUUUAGAAGGGUGUUACAUUAGUGGUAUCAGAGCAUAGUCGGUCGAGUCGAGUCGUAAUUAUUCUGUUUCCCUGUAUGUGAUAGGUGUUGUGUAACCCUAUCAGUACUUAUUGUUUUAGCUUGUUGGGUUUUCAGAAUAGAGAUGGCUGGAAGAGGUAGAGACGAUGCUGCGAUUGCUGAGGCUCUGGGUAUGCUAGCUGGAGUACUUGGAGGGAAUCCGAAUGUUGUGGGAUUGGGAGCUGCUCGUCAACUGAGUGAGUUCCAGAAGAACAAUCCUCCAAUGUUCAAGGGAGCAUACGAUCCAGAUGGUGCUCAGAAGUGGUUGAAGGAGAUCGAGAGGAUCUUCCGAGUGACUGAGUGUGCCGAUAACCAGAAGGUCAGGUUCGGUACGCAUAUGCUGUCAGAGGAAGCAGAUGAUUGGUGGGUUGCUACCCGCACUGAGUUGGAAGCUGCUGGGAAUGCUGAGAUCACUUGGGCGGUGUUCAGAGAGAGAUUCCUGAGGAAGUACUUUCCAGAGGAUGUCAGAGGAAAGAAAGAGAUAGAGUUCUUAGAAUUGAAGCAGGGCAACCGGUCUGUUACUGAGUAUGCUGCUAAGUUCACAGAGCUGUCGAAGUAUUACACUCCCUAUGAUGAGGCUACUGGGGAAUUUUCAAAAUGUGUGAAGUUUGAGAACGGGUUACGUCCCGAGAUCAAGCAGGCUAUUGGGUAUCAGCGGAUUAGAGUGUUUUCUGACUUGGUUGACUGUUGCAGGAUUUUUGAACAGGAUACCAAGGCCAGAGCGGAGAGCUAUCAGCAGAGGGUUGAUAGGAAAGGCAAGAAUCAGAAUGAUCGUGGGAAACCGUAUGCAGCUGGCAAAGGUUUCCAGAGACAGAGUGGGAUGAAGAGACCUAGUGGGGGAGACUCCAGUGCCCCUGCUAAGUGUUACAGAUGUGGUCAGGCUGGACAUCGUAUCCAUGAGUGUACCAGUACUGAGAAGAAGUGUUUCAAGUGUGGCAAAGGUGGUCACUUGGCUGCAGAGUGCCGGUUGAAGACUAUGACUUGUUUCAACUGUGGAGAGGUGGGUCAUAUCAGUCCACAGUGUCCUAAGCCGAAGAAAGAGAACCAGUCGGGAGGCAAGGUCUUUGCUUUAUCGGGUUCUGAGACUUCUGCAGAUGAUCGUUUGAUCCGAGGUACGUGUUAUAUUAAUGGCUUUCCUCUUGUAGCUAUUAUUGACACAGGUGCGACUCAUUCCUUUAUAUCUUUGGAUUGUGCUGUGAAACUUAAAUUAGAGAUAUCUGAGAUGCAUGGGAGUAUGGUGAUUGAUACUCCUGCGAAGGGUUCAGUGACUACUACUUCAGUUUGUUUAAAUUGUCCUUUGAGUAUUUUUGGUAGAGACUUUGGGAUGGACCUCGUGUGUCUUCCACUAGUGCAGAUUGAUGUUAUCCUGGGUAUGAACUGGUUGGUGUUUAACCGAGUUUAUAUCAACUGUUUUGAUAAGACUGUGAUCUUUCCUGAGAUUGAGGAAGGAAAGAGUUUGUUUCUAUCAGCAAGGCAGGUGAAUGAGGCAGUAGCAGAUGGGGCAGAGUUGUUUAUGCUGUUAGCGACUUUGGAGGCUAAAGAUAAACUGGUGAUUUGCGAUCUAGCCGUGGUGUGUGAUUUUCCUGAUGUGUUUCCUGAAGAAGUGAAUGAAUUACCGCCAGAGCGUGAAGUUGAGUUCUCGAUUGAUUUGGUACCUGGUACUAGGCCGAUAUCGAUGGCUCCGUACCGUAUGUCUGCUGUUGAGUUAACUGAAUUGAAGAGUCAGCUGGAAGAUCUGUUGGAUAAGAAAUUUAUUCGUCCGAGUGUGUCACCGUGGGGUGCACCAGUGUUAUUGGUUAAGAAGAAAGAAGGUACUAUGAGGUUGUGUGUGGACUACAGGCAACUGAAUAAAGUGACGAUCAAGAAUCGGUAUCCUUUGCCGAGGAUUGAUGAUUUGAUGGAUCAGUUGGUUGGUGCGAGUGUGUUCAGCAAAAUAGAUUUGAGAUCGGGGUAUCAUCAGAUACGUGUGAAAACUGAGGAUAUUCAGAAGACUGCUUUCAGAACAAGGUAUGGACAUUAUGAGUAUUCUGUAAUGCCUUUUGGUGUGACUAAUGCGCCUGGGGUAUUUAUGGAGUAUAUGAAUAGGAUUUUCCAUCCGUACCUAGACAAGUUUGUUGUGGUGUUUAUUGACGACAUUUUGGUGUAUUCGAAAUCUGAAGAAGAGCAUGCU